UACGAAGGGGGCUAGCGUUGCUCGGAAUCACUGGGCGUAAAGCGCACGUAGGCGGCUUUUUAAGUCAGGGGUGAAAUCCUGGAGCUCAACUCCAGAACUGCCUUUGAUACUGAGAAGCUUGAGUCCGGGAGAGGUGAGUGGAACUGCGAGUGUAGAGGUGAAAUUCGUAGAUAUUCGCAAGAACACCAGUGGCGAAGGCGGCUCACUGGACCGGCAUUGACGCUGAGGUGCGAAAGCGUGGGGAGCAACAGG
rnacentral:rRNA from 1 species